AAACAGCAGACCAGGGACGGAGUGUGGGCCUGUAGUGAAAUACUAUAAUUUUAUGUUGCCUUGGCUUCCAUUUUGAAUUAAGUUGGACUUUCUCAUACCAGAGGCAAGACUUAGUCACCCUUGACAGUUUCCAGUUCUCUGCCUCCUCCCAGUGCCUCAAUGUGGUCGAUGCAGGUAUCUGCUUUAUACAACUGCCUCCCGGUGACCACCUCCCUAUGGGACAGCUGGAUGCAACCUACCUGACCUGCCCCACUGACCCUACACCCUGCAUGGACUGUGCAGACAUGCUGCAGCAACCUACUGUCAGUCAUAGCGUGACUCAUGGAACUUGGACCUGCUUGCUGUAAACCUGCCAAUUUGAAUCCCCUGGGGGAAAACUUGCUUGAGUAACCCCCUAAAUCCUAAUAUAGUCUCUGGCCCACAGGCCUCUCUCUAUUUUGUUUUCCACUGGCUGGUUGAGUCUGCAUGUCCCAGAUGGCUCCCCACUCCAGUUGGCCUGUGAGGCUUGCUGCCUCUUCUCUCCAAGAUCUGUCCACACCAUCCAGGGGAUACGAUGCAGGGCAGAAGGAAUUGAAGAUGGAAAAGGACAUUCACACUCUAGCAAGCCUCUGGCAGAACUAGGCUGUGUCCAACUCUGUGUCCUCUAUCCUGGGCUCUAGAAUAAGCGUGCUUGGCCUCCCAAAGGUGUUGAGGGUCACCAACAAGAGACCCCAGGACCUAUCUUAUCACCAAACUGGGUCAUCAGGGGAAGACAGAAGAGGACUGAGAAAAAGUCAUCUGUCAUAAAAGAGUAGAAGUGUCCACUUCCAUAUACAGUAUAGUCCUGUUACUUAACUCUAACUCCUCUAACUACUGAGAGAACAAGUCUCUCCCAGGCCAGCUUGAUUGGCAGAACCUAAGUUCUCAGAGUUUUCCUUGACUUUUUACAAGACCUGACAUCUUGACAAAUGGAAUCAAGAUGGAGAGGGAAAGGCCUGAGAUGUUUGUACAGGUUCACUUUGGUGUCCAGCAGGGAAGAGUAAUCCCCUUAAAGUUCCUACUUAAUUAACUCCAAGAGAUGUCUGUCCUGCCCCUGAGUUUAGC
rnacentral:lncRNA from 1 species